rnacentral:rRNA from 1 species
UAGGUGCAGCGUCGGUUGAUUGCAUCGCGGGGGUAGAGCUACUGGAUGCUUGCGGGCCCGUGUCGGGUACCAAUAGCAGCCAAACUCCGAAUACCGUGGAUGUGUAUUCCGGCAGUGAGUCGGCGGGGGAUAAGCUCCGUCGUCGAGAGGGAGACAGCCCAGACCGUCGUCUAAGGUCCCGAAGCGUGUGCUAAGUGGGAAAGGAUGUGGAGUCGCAUAGACAGCCAGGAGGUUGGCUCAGAAGCAGCCACCCUUGAAAGAGUGCGUAACAGCUCACUGGUCUAGUGGUUCCGCGCCGACAAUGUAGCGGGGCUCAAGCACACCACCGAAGACGCGGCAACAGUUUUUGCUGUUGGGUAGGAGAGCGUCCCGCGUGGGGCGAAGCGGCCGGGGAACCGUGCCGUGGACCGCGCGGGAGUGAGAAUGCAGACAUGAGUAGCGAGAGACGGGUGAGGAUCCCGUCCGCUGGAUGACCAAGGGUUCCGGGGCCACGUUCGUCGUCCCCGGGUGAGUCGGGUCCUAAGGCGAGGCCGACAGGCGUAGUCGAAUGGAUGAACGGGUGGAUAUUCCCGUACCGGCGGCGUACCGUAAGAGCCGAACGGAUGAGUACUAACCUCCGGUCGCGUGGCGUCGUUCCCUUCGGGGUUCGGGGCGCGUGGCUGUUGGGAGCGUAGUCCUGGUAGGCUAGCGCACAGGGGUGACACGGAAUGGGAGCCGGCCGCGGAGGUGGUUUUCCGUGGUCAAGCACGCAGCCCGUCCCAUAGGCAAAUCCGUGGGACGCAUAGGGUGAGGUGUGAUGAUGGGCGUCCUUUGGACGCGAUAUCCGGUGGUCCAGGCCGUCGAGAAAAGCCUCGGCGCGAGGGGCGUCGCCGCCCGUACCCCAAACCGACACUGGUGGUCAGGUAGAGAAUACCAAGGCGAUCGAGCGAAUCCUGGUCAAGGAACUCGGCAAAUCACUCCCGUGCCUUCGGUAUAAGGGAGACCCCCGGGCGUGAAGAGGCUUGCCCUCGGAGCGUUGGGGGGUGGCACAGACCAGGGGGUAGCGACUGUUUACCAAAAACACAGGUGCAUGCGAAGGCGCAAGCCGCUGUAUAUGCACUGACGCCUGCCCGGUGCCGGAAGGUUAAGAGGAUCCGUCAGCCUUCGGGUGAAGCGGUGAAUUCAAGCCCCGGUAAACGGCGGUGGUAACUAUAACCAUCCUAAGGUAGCGAAAUUCCUUGUCGGGUAAGUUCCGACCUGCACGAAUGGCGUAACGACUUCCCCACUGUCUCGACCAGGAGCUCGGCGAAAUUGCAGUACGAGUAAAGAUGCUCGUUAAGCGCAGAAGGACGAAAAGACCCCGGGACCUUUACUAUACCUUGGUAUUGGCGUUAGGCGCGGAUUGUGUAGCAUAGGCGGGAGGCUUCGAAGCAUGGGCGCCAGCCCGUGUGGAGCCGCAAGGUGAAAUACCGCUCUGUUCUCGUUUGACGUCUCACCUCGAACAGUCAUCCUGUUCAGGGACAGUGCCUGGCGGGUAGUUUAACUGGGGCGGUUGCCUCCCAAAGAGUAACGGAGGCGCUCAAAGGUCCGCUCAGCCCGGUUGGCAAUCGGGUUUCGAGUGUAAUCGCACAAGCGGGCUUGACUGCGAGAACGACGGUUCGGGCAGGGACGAAAGUCGGAGAUAGUGAUCCGGUGCCGGCGCACGGGCGCGGCAUCGCUCAACGGAUAAAAGGUACCCCGGGGAUAACAGGCUGAUCAUUCCCAAGAGUCCAUAUCGACGGGAUGGUUUGGCACCUCGAUGUCGGCUCGUCGCAUCCUGGGGCUGGAGCAGGUCCCAAGGGUUCGGCUGUUCGCCGAUUAAAGCGGCACGCGAGCUGGGUUCAGAACGUCGUGAGACAGUUUGGUCUCUAUCCUCUGCGCUCGUUGGAAUCCUGAGGAGGCCUGCCCAUAGUACGAGAGGACCUGGGUGGACGGACCUCUGGUAUGCCGGUUGUCGCGCCAGCGGCAUGGCCGGUUGGCUACGUUCGGGAGGGAUAACCGCUGAAAGCAUCUAAGCGGGAAGCCUGCUCCAAGAUUAGGAUUCCUUGACGCUCCCCGGAGCGUCCGAAGCCCGCAUGUUGAACACGUGUUCGAUAGGCCGGAGGUGGAAGCCCCGCGAGGGGUGGAGCCGACCGGUACUAACGGGCGAACGCGGCACACU